CUUACUCUUUCGUCCGACCGCGACCACAGGAGCUCCAGGUACAACGAGAGUUGCUCCAGGUGCUAUUUGAGCCGCCGAUGCUGCAGCUUCCAGUCUAUCGAGAUUGAAUUCACUCUGGGAUAAGCGCUCCAGUGCUCGAGACAGUAUUUCUCUGUUAUCGAAUCAGUGCCAUCGAAAGAAACAAAAGGAGAAAUAAUAAAAAACGCAAAUUGGAAAUUCUGAACUACGACUCUUCAAUCAAAUUGUCUAUUGUAAACUGAUAUUGUGAUCUCACCGAAAAAAAAGGAAAACAAAAAUACCGAAAUUCGCACCAUUUGACAUGGAUCUAACGAGAUCGGCAGCAGUGAAUGGAAUUGUCGGUGGAUGAGGUGCAGUAAGUGGUGGUUGUUCACAACCACCGUGAGGACUUGGUAAUUGAGAGGUACUGGCAACGUCACCGACUGCAACCCAAGUACUGCAG